GACGAACGCUGGCGGCGUGCUUAACACAUGCAAGUCGAACGGAAGGGCCCUGCUUUUGUGGGGUGCUCGAGUGGCGAACGGGUGAGUAACACGUGAGUAACCUGCCCUUGACUUUGGGAUAACUUCAGGAAACUGUGGCUAAUACCGGAUAGGAGCUCCUGCUGCAUGGUGGGGGUUGGAAAGUUUCGGCGGUUGGGGAUGGGCUCGCGGCUUAUCAGCUUGUUGGUGGGGUAGUGGCUUACCAAGGCUUUGACGGGUAGCCGGCCUGAGAGGGUGACCGGCCACAUUGGGACUGAGAUACGGCCCAGACUCCUACGGGAGGCAGCGGUGGGGAAUAUUGCACGAUGGGCGGAAGCCUGAUGCAGCAACGCCGCGUGCGGGAUGACGGCCUUCGGGUUGUAAACCGCUUUCGCCUGUGACGAAGCGUGAGUGACGGUAAUGGGUAAAGAAGCACCGGCUAACUACGUG
rnacentral:rRNA from 1 species